GAUGAACGCUGGCGGCGUGCUUAACACAUGCAAGUCGAACGGAAAGGCCCAAGCUUGCUUGGGUCCUCGAGUGGCGAACGGGUGAGUAACACGUGGGUGAUCUGCCCUGCACUUCGGGAUAAGCCUGGGAAACUGGGUCUAAUACCGGAUAGGACCACAUUUUGGAUGGUGUGGUGGAAAGUUUUUCGGUGUGGGAUGAGCUCGCGGCCUAUCAGCUUGUUGGUGGGGUAAUGGCCUACCAAGGCGUCGACGGGUAGCCGGCCUGAGAGGGUGUACGGCCACAUUGGGCCUGAGCUACGGCCCAGACUCCUACGGGAGGCAGCAGUGGGGAAUAUUGCACAAUGGGCGCAAGCCUGAUGCAGCGACGCCGCGUGGGGGAUGACGGCCUUCGGGUUGUAAACUCCUUUCGCUAGGGACGAAGCGUUUUUGUGACGGUACCUGGAGAAGAAGCACCGGCUAACUACGUG
rnacentral:rRNA from 1 species